GUACUGCUGAAUAGUCUCAAACUAGGACGAAACAGCUGUCCAGUAC
rfam:Trichobilharzia regenti genome assembly, scaffold: TRE_scaffold0020258